AUUGAACGCUCGCGGGAUGCCUUACACAUGCAAGUCGAACGGAUUGGCGAACGGGUGCGUAAUGUAUCGGACCUUGCCCAGUAGCGGGGGAUAACUACGCUAAAGCGUAGCUAAUACCGCAUACUAUUUGCUCGGCCUAUAUCGGAUUCGCUGGUGGGGGGGGUAACGUCUCACCAAGGCGACGAUCCGUAGCUGGUUUGAGAGGACGACCAGCCACACUGGAACUGAGACACGGCCCAGACUCCUACGGGAGGCAGCAGUGGGGAAUUUUGGACAAGGGGGGAAACCCUGAUCCAGCCAUCCCGCGUGUGCGAUGAAGGCCUUCGGGUUGUAAAGCACUUUUGGCAGGAAAGCGGUACAUGCAGAAGAAGCACAGGCUAACUACGUGCCAGCAGCCGCGGUAAUAC
rnacentral:rRNA from 1 species